UACGUAGGGGGCUAGCGUUGUCCGGAAUCAUUGGGCGUAAAGCGCGUGUAGGCGGUCCGGUAAGUCCGCUGUGAAAGUCGGGGGCUCAACCCUCGGAUGCCGGUGGAUACUGUCGGGCUUGAGUACGGAAGAGGCGAGUGGAAUUCCUGGUGUAGCGGUGGAAUGCGCAGAUAUCAGGAGGAACACCAAUAGCGAAGGCAGCUCGCUGGGACGGUACUGACGCUGAGGCGCGAAAGCGUGGGGAGCAAACAGG
rnacentral:rRNA from 1 species